CACAGGUGGUCAGGUAGAGAAUACUAAGGCGAUCGAGAGAAUCAUGGUUAAGGAACUCGGCAAAAUGCCCCCGUAACUUUGGGAUAAGGGGGACCUGAGCUGUCGUGCACCCGUGCGGUGUGGUGGCGGUGAGGGGCGCAGAGUCCAGGGGGAAACGACUGUUUACCAAAAACACAGGUCCGUGCGAAGUCGUAAGACGAUGUAU
rnacentral:rRNA from 14 species